GAUGAACGCUGGCGGCGUGCCUAAUACAUGCAAGUCGAGCGAACAGAUGAGGAGCUUGCUCCUCUGACGUUAGCGGCGGACGGGUGAGUAACACGUGGAUAACCUACCUAUAAGACUGGGAUAACUUCGGGAAACCGGAGCUAAUACCGGAUAAUAUAUUGAACCGCAUGGUUCAAUAGUGAAAGACGGUUUUGCUGUCACUUAUAGAUGGUUCCGCGCCGCAUUAGCUAGUAGGUAAGGUAACGGCUUACCAAGGCAACGAUGCGUAGCCGACCUGAGAGGGUGAUCGGCCACACUGGAACUGAGACACGGUCCAGACUCCUACGGGAGGCAGCAGUAGGGAAUCUUCCGCAAUGGGCGAAAGCCUGACGGAGCAACGCCGCGUGAGUGAUGAAGGUCUUCGGAUCGUAAAACUCUGUUAUUAGGGAAGAACAAAUGUGUAAGUAACUAUGCACGUCUUGACGGUACCUAAUCAGAAAGCCACGGCUAACUACGUG
rnacentral:rRNA from 1 species